GGAGGGAUGGCAGAGCGGACGAAUGCGACGGUCUUGAAAACCGUUGAGGUGCAAGCCUCCGGGGGUUCGAAUCCCCCUCCCUCCGCCG
rnacentral:tRNA from 1 species